AGGGGCAGCGGUGGUGAGGCUUGCCUUCACCAGCCGGCGACCGGCGCACGGGUGAGUAACACGUAUGCAACCUGCCUGCCACAGCCGGAUAAUCGGGAGAAAUCCCGUCUAAUACGGCAUAAUGCAUCGACGGGACAUCCUGUUGGUGCCAAAGGUUAAUUCCGGUGGCGGAUGGGCAUGCGUCGCAUUAGUUAGUUGGCGGUGUAACGGACCACCAAGACGACGAUGCGUAGGGGUUCUGAGAGGAAGGUCCCCCACACUGGUACUGAGACACGGACCAGACUCCUACGGGAGGCAGCAGUGAGGAAUAUUGGUCAAUGGGCGGGAGCCUGAACCAGCCAAGUCGCGUGAGGGAUGACGGCCCUAUGGGUUGUAAACCUCUUUUGCCGGGGAGCAAAGUGCCGCACGUGUGCGGUUUGGAGAGUACCCGGAGAAAAAGCAUCGGCUAACUCCGUGCCAGCAGCCGCGGUAAUACGGAGGAUGCGAGCGUUAUCCGGAUUUAUUGGGUUUAAAGGGUGCGUAGGCGGACGCUUAAGUCAGCGGUAAAAUUGCGGGGCUCAACCUCGUCGAGCCGUUGAAACUGGGUGCCUUGAGUGGGCGAGAAGUACGCGGAAUGCGUGGUGUAGCGGUGAAAUGCAUAGAUAUCACGCAGAACUCCGAUUGCGAAGGCAGCGUACCGGCGCCCAACUGACGCUGAAGCACGAAGGCGUGGGUAUCGAACAGGAUUAGAUACCCUGGUAGUCCACGCAGUAAACGAUGAAUGCUAGUUGUCCGG
rnacentral:rRNA from 1 species